GGAGGGUAUAGCUCAGUGGUAGAGCAUAUGCUUGGCAUGUAUGAGGUCCUGGGUUCAAUCCCCAGUACCUCCA
rnacentral:tRNA from 1 species